UGGGAACGCGAAGAACCUUACCUAGACUUGACAUCCCCUGAAUUACCUGUAAUGAGGGAAGUCCCUUCGGGGACAGGGAGACAGGUGGUGCAUGGUUGUCGUCAGCUCGUGUCGUGAGAUGUUGGGUUAAGUCCCGCAACGAGCGCAACCCUUAUCAUUAGUUGCUACCAUUAAGUUGAGCACUCUAAUGAGACUGCCCGGGUUAACCGGGAGGAAGGUGGGGAUGACGUCAAAUCAUCAUGCCCCUUAUGUCUAGGGCCACACACGUGCUACAAUGGUGAGUACAACGAGAUGCGAACCUGCGAGGGGGAGCUAAACUCAAAAACUCAUCUCAGUUCGGAUUGCAGGCUGCAACUCGCCUGCAUGAAGCUGGAGUUGCUAGUAAUCGCGAAUCAGAAUGUCGCGGUGAAUACGUUCCCGGGUCUUGUACACACCG
rnacentral:rRNA from 1 species